rnacentral:rRNA from 1 species
GACGAAGGAUGCAAGCGUUAUCCGGAUUCAUUGGGUUUAAAGGGUGCGUAGGCGGCCUGGUAAGUCAGUGGUGAAAUCUCCUCGCUUAACGAGGAAACUGCCAUUGAUACUGCUAGGCUUGAGUACAGAUGCUGUGGGCGGAAUAUGACAUGUAGUGGUGAAAUACAUAGAGAUGUCAUAGAACACCGAUUGCGAAGGCAGCUCACAAAACUGUAACUGACGCUGAGGCACGAAAGUGCGGGGAUCAAACAGG